AGUCUUAUAUUCAAAAAAAAAAUGAUAUAAAAUUGCAAAUUUUAAGGUGUAAAUUAUACUAAGGCUU
rnacentral:tRNA from 1 species